CCUCCCCGUCCUUUUCUAAUCUGCUGCAAACGGUUUUCGGCUUGUGGGGUCGACGUCGUGUUGGUCCCUGAGCAGAUGGGCGGCGCCGUGGUUGGUGAUGGUGCCAUGGCGGUGCAGGCUCAACGGCGUGGUGCUCGGGGUAGUCGGUGGCUUCGGCGGUGUGGUUAGCUCUCCGGGUUCCUCGAUACCGGGAAACGUAGCGGGGAUGCAUCGACUGCGAGCCACGGCGACGGCGGUGCUGCUCCAUCUCGUCGGGUACGUCGAUGUGACGGCAUAUACACUGCACAAGGAUGCAGAUAUGGGCACAACAAUGGAGCUAAUGCUUCUACGAACAUGGUCAAUCCCUAAGAGCAUUUUUGUUACAACAGCUGGAUUCUGCUAAGACUGGAGGUGUCAACCUAAAUGCACAUAUAUCAGACUAAACGACAGCAGUCGAAAACCAUUUUAUCUGCAUUGUGUAAUUUAUCACACAGAUUAAUUACAAUAUUUAUUCUAUGGGCAUGAGUCCGCGAUUUGUGACAUUUGGUUACAGUUGUUAUGUGGUGUGAUUUUUCAGUGCAAUCUAAUGAUAUCGGCAAGGCUUAAAGGAAUACUUAUGUCGACACAUGUUUAUUUUACAUUGGCACCGAGAAUUCUUACCAUUGUCAACCUUUGGUCGUAGACAUCUUUCCAUCCGACCUUUUAGUUUAUUUAGGUUGAUUGUUUGCAAAAUCCUCUUAUUUACACCAGCUGAUUUUUCUGUUUGGAAGUGGCUCCAAUAUUCCAACUUUAACGAUAAAUUAUACGGGACAAUGCAGCAAUCACAAGAUAAGAUGGCAAGGAUUCAGAGAGCAUCUGAGCUCGGGAUCAGAAACGAAUAUUCGUAGAUUAUAGACUAAUUUACGUUGGCUCCGUUAUAGUAUUUUCUUCUUCUCAAAAUGGCUCUGGGAAGGUACGUGUACAAUGGCUGGGGCUUUGGGGCAUCCGUAAAAUUACAUCCUGAUGGAACAAAUCUUACGUUCAUCUAAGUAGUCCAAGGCGUG